UACGAACUGCGCGAACGUUAUUCGGAAUCACUGGGCUUACAGGGUGCGUAGGCGGCCAGCCAGGUCCGAUGUGAAAUCCCACAGCUCAACUGUGGAAUGGCAUUGGAAACCGGUUGGCUCGAGUGAGCUAGAGGUGCACGGAGCUUCCGGUGGAGCGGUGAAAUGUGUUGGGAUCGGAAGGAACACCAGAGGCGAAGGCGGUGCACUGGGGCUUGUCUGACGCUGAGACGCGAAAGCGUGGGGAGCAAACAGG
rnacentral:rRNA from 1 species